rnacentral:lncRNA from 1 species
UAUUUCUGAUGAGAUUAUUCCAAGGUAAUUUUUUUUAAAUUGAUAUUCAUUACAACAGAAUUAGGUUAUAGGGACACAUAUUUGGGACACUUUUGAGUAAGUAUCCCAUUUAUGCUAAAAUUUAAAAAACAUCUACUAAUGCCUAAAUAUAAAGCCCAAUCCAAUCAAAAAUAAAAGAGUACUCUACUCAACCCACCACACCCAGUCCAUUUGGCCCGAUUACAAACAAAAAAGAAAAACAAAAAGAAAAAUAAAUUACCAUCUUUUCUUUUCUAUUCACUCAAUCUACUGAAAUUCUAGACGAAGAGCCUUUCCUGUCGUCCUCCUCCGCCACCGCAGCCAACGAGAUAGAGUUUCGGCGGUUGCUAAAUGCUUAAAUAAGUGUUGGUAAAUUAGCAGCACUCUUUUAGGUUAUAGCGACACUCUUUAACUGUCACUAUAUACCUAGCGACCCCACAUAUAGCAACACUUUUUAAAAGUGUCGGUAAUUUUAGCUAGCAGCACUUUUUUGACAUGUACCUACAUUUAAAAGUGUCGCUAUACACCG